UACGGAGGGUGCAAGCGUUAGGCGGAAUCACUGGGCUUAAAGCGUGUGUAGGCGGGUUGGUAAGUACCUUGUGAAAUCCCACAGCUUAACUGUGGAACUGCUUGGUAUACUGCCAGUCUUGAGCCACUUAGGGGCUACCGGAACAAAUGGUGGAGCGGUGAAAUGCGUAGAUAUCAUUUGGAACGCCAAUGGUGAAAACAGGUAGCUGGGAGUGUGCUGACGCUGAGACACGAAAGCCAGGGAGCAAACGGG
rnacentral:rRNA from 1 species